rnacentral:rRNA from 1 species
UAGCUAGUUGGUGAGGUAACGGCUUACCAAGGCGACGAUCUGUAGCGGGUCUGAGAGGAUGAUCCGCCACACUGGAACUGAGACACGGUCCAGACUCCUACGGGAGGCAGCAGUGGGGAAUUUUGGACAAUGGGGGCAACCCUGAUCCAGCCAUGCCGCGUGAGUGAAGAAGGCCUUCGGGUUGUAAAGCUCUUUCGGCCGGGAAGAAAUCGCAUGGGCCAAUACCCUGUGUGGAUGACGGUACCGGAAUAAGAAGCACCGGCUAACUACGUGCCAGCAGCCGCGGUAAUACGUAGGGUGCGAGCGUUAAUCGGAAUUACUGGGCGUAAAGCGUGCGCAGGCGGUUUUGUAAGACAGGCGUGAAAUCCCCGGGCUCAACCUGGGAACUGCGUUUGUGACUGCAAGGCUAGAGUACGGCAGAGGGGGGUGGAAUUCCACGUGUAGCAGUGAAAUGCGUAGAGAUGUGGAGGAACACCAAUGGCGAAGGCAGCCCCCUGGGUCGAUACUGACACCCAUGCACGAAAGCGUGGGUAGCAAACAGGAUUAGAUACCCUGGUAGUCCACGCCCUAAACUAUGUCAACUAGGUGUUGGGUGGGUAAAACCAUUUAGUACCGUAGCUAACGCGUGAAGUUGACCGCCUGGGGAGUACGGCCGCAAGGUUAAAACUCAAAGGAAUUGACGGGGACCCGCACAAGCGGUGGAUGAUGUGGAUUAAUUCGAUGCAACGCGAAAAACCUUACCUACCCUUGACAUGCCAGGAACUUGCCAGAGGUGGCUUGGUGCCCGAAAGGGAGCCUGGACACAGGUGCUGCAUGGCUGUCGUCAGCUCGUGUCGUGAGAUGUUGGGUUAAGUCCCGCAACGAGCGCAACCCUUGUCGUUAAUUGCCAUCAUUUAGUUGGGCACUUUAGCGAGACUGCCGGUGACAAACCGGAGGAAGGUGGGGAUGACGUCAAGUCCUCAUGGCCCUUAUGGGUAGGGCUUCACACGUCAUACAAUGGUCGGUACAAAGGGUCGCCAAGCCGCGAGGUGGAGCCAAUCCCAGGAAGCCGAUCGUAGUCCGGAUUGCAGGCUGCAACUCGCCUGCAUGAAGUCGGAAUCGCUAGUAAUCGUGGAUCAGCAUAUCACGGUGAAUACGUUCCCGGGUCUUGUACACACCGCCCGUCACACCAUGGGAGCGGGUUCCGCCAGAAGUAGGUAGCCUAACCGCAAGGAGGGCGCUUACCACGGCGGGGUUCGUGACUGGGGUGAAGUCGUAACAAGGUAGCCGUAGGGGAACCUGCGGCUG